AAAUAUGAUCAAAAGUGAAAGCCAUCAACUUCUUUCCUGUCGUUGAUAAGGACCGACCGGAAAACCGAACAAGCAGAACCCAGAACUGAGGGAGAAAGAGAGUGAUGGUGUUGGAAUCAGUUGGCGAUUUAGUCCUCAAUGAAAUCCUAUCAAUAUUGGGUCCUAAAGAAACAGCGAAAGUCUCCUGUGUUAGCAAGCAGUUAAAGGCUUCGGCCUCUGAAGAUUCUCUCUGGUCCAAAUUUUGUUCUCAGGAUCUCGAUCUCUCUGCUCCUCUUGAUCAUCAAGGGAAUCACAUUCCCUCUUUCAAGUUUGCCUAUGGAUUAUGGCGGGAAGCUUUUGGCAUGUAUCCUUGGCCUCUUGUAAUACGAGUUAAAAGAUGCUGGGACAGACUCAAGAAUUGGUUGAAUGCAAAUUUUCCUGAAGCUGGUGCCACACUGCAACAGGGUGCAUCAGAAGCUCAAAUACAGCAAUUUGAGCUAGUUUUGAAAGUAAAAUUGCCCCUUCCUACGAGAAUCCUCUACCGCUUUUGUGAUGGUCAAGUUUUCAAAGACAAAGAUGCACCGAAAAGUGCUUUUGGAAAUACAUUGGGUCUAAUAGGUGGCUACUCCUUUUAUAAUCAUUUGGUUAAUGUUUACUUAUUACCAUUACAUCAAAUAAUCUUGCAAACACUACGCGUCACUCGCCAACUUCGGACUUCUGGAGGUUGUAGAAGAACUAAACUUAUUGUUGUGGCCUCGUCAUCUGCAAUCAAUGAAAAGUUGUUUUUCCUCAAUUGUACAACUGGCCAACUCUAUGUUGGUACCAGGAAUCUUCCAACGGAUGGAGAAAUGAUGCCAUGUGUACCAGAUGCAUUGAUAAGGUCAGUGCAUGAUUUGAAUAGUGAUCAACAGCAGGAUGCAAUGUUGCUAUGGUUAGAAGAACAUGGCCGUCGAUUGCAAGAUGGCAUUAUCAAAUUGCGGGAAGAAGGAAAUAUGAGAACUAUUUGUCAAUUUCCAGAGGAGCCUCCUCUCUGUUCCACUGCUGUCACCAAUGGUGUAAAGGUCCGUGCUUCUGCUAUUUUUGUACCUGAGGCAGCUGAUCUGCAAGAUAGUUUUGAGAAAUACUGUUUUACAUAUUCAAUUCGCUUGUCCCUCUUGCCAGAAGGAUGCAUUAUAAAUGGAAUGUACUUCAGCUCUUGCCAGCUGCUACAGAGGCACUGGAUCAUCCGUGCUAAUGGCAAUGUUAUAGAGGAUGUGGCUGGAGAGGCCGUAAUAGGCAAGGUGCACUUAUACAGCCAAGCAGAUGCUACAAGUAACUGUAUCUUCUUGAAGUUUUUGCCAAUGAUGAAGAUUAGCACAUUUCGUUUGUUGUCUCAACCAGGAAGUUCCCAUAAUGUUCCUGAAAUAACAGAAGUGACUUCUUCAUUCCUAUAUCUGGAGCAGUCCUUUUUAUUUAUGAAAGAAAAAGGAAAAAAUAUGUGGAAGAUAAUUUUACUGGAUUAAUUCCCAGUUCUUGAUAUGAAAGUAUCCACUCUUGCAUCCAGCUGAGGAAGAAUUUGUAUACGAGAGUUCCGUAUCUCUGCCAGAUGCUCCAGGUUCUAUUGAAGGUUCUUUCACAUUUGUUCCAAACAGGUUGGUUGAUCCGAAAGGAGCUCCCUUUGAAGUUGAAGUGGCUAGGUUCCCCCUCCAGGUUCCGGACUACAUUUUCUGAUGGUGAUCUAUGAGAUUGAAUUACCUUAAUUCUGCUGUUUUUUUAUAUGUGUUCUUGUAGAAUACCUUAUGAUACAUUUGCCUGUUCUUUAAAAAGUUGCAAGCACUUUGCUUCAUGGGAUUGCAUGAAAAUAUAAUAAUUAUUCCAUGCUGAAUAAAAUGUGAAUGAACUACUUCUUCGUGGUC